rnacentral:lncRNA from 1 species
GUAGGAAGACUAUUCCUUUUGUUAAAGUUCUUUGGAAGAACCAUUCUGAACGUGAAGCUACGUGGGAAUUAGAAGACACGAUCCGUUCUCACUAUCCAUAUUUGUUUUCGUCUUAGUAUGCUAAACUUCGAUGUGUUGUAAUCAUGUACGACCUUGGGAUUGUGCCCAUUUUGUAACUUAGUGUUUUCGCUAAUGUGUAAUGUUUCGCUUACGCUUAUGUGUGGUCUAAAUUGUGUCCGUACCGGUUAUCAGCGUCUUGCAAUUUCGAGGACGAAAUUUUUUUAGGGGGAAAGAAUUGUAAUGCUCGAAGCAUUUUGUUGAUAAUAAUAGUUUCAUCGAUUAUAUAGACAUAUAUUAUAGAAUUCGAUAAGUUAAUAGAUAGUUGAAUUGAAUAACUUUUUUUUUAGUUAUGUGUCGUGUACAUUUCAAGCAUUCUAUCAUUUAAUAAUAUCUAUUUAUGUUGAUAUUAUUUUUACUAUUGCGACAAAUAUUACUAGACCAAAUAUGUAGUUAAAGCCAUAUAUUUUAGUUAGUUAUGGAUAAGUUCUAAAACAUUAACCAAUAUUUUAUUUCUUACUUCCUAUAGUUGGCUAGAAUAAAAAAAAAUAGUAAAGCCCAUAACCUACAACCUAUAGUAGCUUUUGAAUAUCUCUGGUUAGAAGGAAAUACACCCCAUCUUCCUCAUCAUACAUUCCUUGAAUUCUGGGAUUUGACAAUUUUACUCAAUCACAAAAAUUUCAUCUAUAAAACCAACCUAAAUUCAUAAUAUAUAUGCAUACACAAUCAAAACUUUUUGUUUAUCCCAAACAUACUCCCUUUGAAUCACCACCGUGACCCACUGUGAGGACCGCCGCCAUAUCGACGUCGCCGUCCGUUCGCACCUCCACCGCUGCCGCCUCUAUGUAAGCUAGCGACUGCCGCGGUUACCACCUCGUUCCACUCUUUGAGGUAAACGAACAGAUUACCUCUCUUUAAAUUGUUUGAUUUGUCGGGUUAAGACUUGGGUUUGGGCUGGGUUGUUAUGUUUUUUUUUUCCGGCGAUCGGGGGUUAGGGGGAGUUUUCGUUUUUGUCUCUUUAUAAGAUAUGUCGAUUUGUGUAUCUGGGUUAACUAUUGCUGGGGUGUUGUGUGUGUGUAUUGAGAAGUGGCAAGCUAAUCCAUUGAAAUACGAAUUGUUAGACAAAUAUUGAAUUUAAUCUUUGUCAUAUUCUAAAUAAAUGAUGUCCAAAUAGUAUUACUACUAAUGAGUUUAUAAUUAUAAUAACCAGUCUCGCUUAUGUUUUGUGUAUUUUAUGAAUCUGUAACCAAAUGAAUGAUUUGUAGAUAUUAAAACUAAGAAACUAUUAUAAUAAUCUUUAUUCAAUUUGCAAAACGUAUACAUAGUUUUAUGAAUUGUUUCCUUUAUUACUUGUUUUUAAUAAAGAUAAACUGGUAAAUCAUGUUAUGAAUGGUUAAGAAAAUUAAUAAUUUGUAACUAUUUUUGUUUCUAAGGACUUUACCAAUCUGUAAUUUGGGUGCAAGUUUUGAGUUAACAAAUCGUGUUAUUAUAUGUAUAUAUAUAUAUAUAUAUGAGUAUGUCUGUAUUAAAUAUAUGUGUAUAUAUGUACUAGAGGUGUAUUAAUUAUAUCGUAUAGUAUAAUACGAGACGCUUAAAUUAAUUAUUGUGAAUGUUGAACCAAAAGCGUGUUUUAUUAUUGGGUAAGUCUAGUCCGCGGUCGC